rnacentral:rRNA from 1 species
UACGUAGGGGGCGAGUGUUGUCCGGAAUUACUGGGCGUAAAGCGCGCGUAGGCGGGAUAGUCAGUCUGUUGUAAAAGCGCGGGGCUCAACCUCGUAAGGUCAAUGGAAACUGCUAUUCUUGAGUGCAGGAGAGGAGAGUGGAAUUCCCAGUGUAGCGGUGAAAUGCGUAGAUGUUGGGAGGAACACCAGUGGCGAAGGCGACUUUCUGGACUGUGUCUGACGCUGAGGCGCGAAAGCCAGGGGAGCGAACGGG